CCUAUAAAUCUACUUUUAUUCAUAGAUUUUAACUGAUAUAACGUUAAAUGCCAUCAAAGACGUGUAGUGUUUUGUAUUUUUGUAGGUUUUCUCUUUCAAUUUAAUAAAUAAAUGCUCUGUUUGGUUAAUUAGCUCAAAAGCAGUCUCAGAGGUGGUCUAAGGUAACGGUAACUGUUAAAAUCGAAUAUAACCUUACCUGUUUUAAAUUAUUUGAAAUUUAUCACUAUAAACUAAACAGUAUUAACUUUCUAAUUAUUCAAUUUUUAACCGUAGUAACGUUAAUUAGUUUGUUUGAAUACCUGCUGCUCGAGCUUGAUGAUGCUCAUGCUAGCCAUGCUGUGAACUUGAAUAUAAACCGAUAUAACGUUAAAUAUAAAGUUUAACGUUAAUUAGACCGAGGCUGCCGAAAUCAUGUUCAGUGUAACGUUAUGUGGGGUUAAUAAUUUCCCCUUUUCUCCCUCAAGUGGCAGGCUUGUAAAUUCUGUCAUCUGUUCAUUAUUGGUGUUGAUGGUGUUUUUCACAUGCAUGCUUUUUAAUGCUAGUUUAAUUCUCAAAUUGAUCUGAUACUUUCGUUUCACAAAAAGUAAACAAAUUGUUCACUUUCUUAGGGCCUGACAACCACCAGUUGAGUCCAUGAUUCAGGGAAGAGACAGUCUGGGCAGCAGCAACAAGACAACUAUUACAAGUAGAGAUGGGUUUCAAGAACUGACACAACCACAUAUCCUCCAAAUCAUCUCUGCGUGGAUGGCAGCAAGGAUCCAGGAUCAAGAGAUCAUUCUUCAUGGAGACUGUUCCACAGGAAGCAGUUUCUCCUGGGUCAUCCUGACCAUUCUGCUGUCCUGGAUGUAAGGCCGUGCUGGAACUACAUUUCUCGUGGUUGAAAGAUUUGUGCAGCGGUAUCCAGACAUAUAACGCCCCAUCACACGGGGCGUCAACGCCUCUCGUUUACUUUUAAAUGAAGUGACGUCAAGGAUGGUGAAAUUAAUUCUAGAAAUUAAUUCUAAAUAGAAGUUGAAGACUUCUCAAGCGCCAAUGCAGCCGUCCUCCAGUCAGAACAUCUUAUGCAAAUACCCAAGCGCAGACGCAAGCCAAUCGAGUGCAUGCAAUACCAGAAAACUAAUGUGAUUGGCUGUCACUAUGAGAAGAGUGAAGAUAUCAGUGUCGUUUUUUGCAAAAAAAAAUUUAAAUCAAUGUAGAAUUUUCUAUACUUCUGUGUAAGGAUGUCAAUUUUCAAUCAUUUCCAUGAUCGAUCGUCGUUUAAAUUAAUGAACAAAUAAUCGAUUAAUCGUUAACCUUAAUGCUGCAAAGUCUAUUGCAGUAACACCCAGUCACUGGUAUGACAGGAUGUGCAAAAGUGUGUGUGUGUGUGUGUGUGUGUGUGUGUGUGUGUGUGUGUGUGUGUAUAUAUAUAUAUAUAUAUAUAUAUAUAUAAAAAAAAACUGUAAAAUAUAUAUUUUACAGUAAAGACCAAAAGUUUGGACACACCUUCUCAUUCAAAGAGUUUUCUUUAUUUUCAUGACUAUGAAAAUUGUAGAUUCACACUGAAGGCAUCAAGGGCUAUUUGACCAAGAAGGAGAGUGAUGGGGUGCUGCUCCAGAUGACCUGGCCUCCACAGUCACCGGACCUGAACCCAAUCCAGAUGGUUUAGGGGUGAGCUGGACCGUACACAGAAGGCAAAAGGGCCAACAAGAGCUAAGCAUCUCUCGGGGAACUCCUUCAAGACUGUUGGAAGACCAUUUCAGAUUUGAGGGAAAGAUUAAAAACAAGGAGGUCUGGGAAUGACUGAAGGGAUCUGACAGCAGUGAGGGAAGGAAGUUAUCACCAGAAUCCUUGGUGAGUAGAAGAGACUUCUCUUGAAAACCAUAAAGAAAAGAUUCCAGAUUUUUGACUGGUUGUGAACAUACAUGAGCAACAUUAACAAGAUGAUCCUCCCUUUCAGCUCAGAGAAGGAUGUUGACAGCAGGCCCAGGAUGAAGAAGAGGAGGAAGAACACGUUUAACAAUUUUCUAUAAGCUUGCCAUGUGUUAUAAUAAAAACAAUGAACAUGGCUACAAUAAUAUGCUAAAUGUUAUUAAAAGAUUCCAGUUUGCAAGAAAUCUGAGUGUCUGACUCUACACUAGAGGAACUCUUUUCUGAAGAAGAUCAGGUGCUGAGAAGAAGCCUUGUUCUACAGCACAACACUGCAUCAAGCCUCCUGUCCUUCCCUCAGAAGAGCCUGUCUUCUGCUGCUGGGGUAAGAAACACACUCUUCCUCUUCUCUAUCACCUGUCCAGCACCUAACUCUGCCUCCUCAGCACUGUCUGAAAGAGUCAUCUCCACAGUCAGUAAUCACAGAUCACAGAUUCUUCUGAGAAAGUCAGUACGCUCAUUUUCUUAAAAACAAAUAAUACAGGAGAGAUGAUAGAAAUCUCUAUAUUGUUCAUUUUUCAUAUCUUUACGCUUUAUGAAUGUUUUUCUUCUGAGAAGCUCAAGAAUUAUGGUUCUUUGGUAAUUGUUAUAUUGUUUAGUUUUAUCCUCUGAUAGUGAGCACAGAGCCCUGAUCAUGACAUGCAAGAAAAAGAAAGAAAUCAUGUCCAUGAUUUACUAAUUCGUUCCCUCUAUGUACUAAAACAUGCACGAUUACUUUUACAUUUCAUUGAUUUGCUAAAUCGUAUGCACAAUUUACUAAUUUGUUCUCUUGAUGUAUAAAUAGUGUACACGUUUUAGCAAAUCGAGGGAAUGAAAUAGAAAAUCGUGCGCAUGAAUUAGCCUAAAUGUUUUCCUGCAUGCCAUGUAAUUAAAGCACAUCACCAUCAGACAUUUAUACCAGGAGCCUCAUAUAUGACACUCACAGUUUUACUUUGUGCAGUAUCUCUGUGCAGUAUCUGCUGAAUUGUUUCAUAUCUAUUUAUCAUGUAUUUUUUGUUGCACUAAAUUAUGUUGUAUCAAUAAGUUUACUGAUAAUUAUUUUUAAUUUUCACUAAUAACGUCAUUAACCAUCUCCCCAUCUUUAAGACAAAAAUUUUCUAUUGUUUAUAUUGUGUAAUCUAUGAAUUGAUGUGUUUAGUUUUCUGUGCUCAUAACUUAGUAACAAUUUGCAUGGUUAAAGAACAGGUGCGAUGUUCAAAAUGUUUUGGCUUCGUAUUUGUACAAAGUAGUGCUGAAUAAAUAUUGAUUUGUGAAUGAAUGCAGCGUGUUUUUGUCUAUUUUAUAUUAGAAUGUAAUGUUUUUGUAUUUGUUUGCAUUGCAUGUAUGUAAUUAAUGUAUUAACCAUGAAUCCCCUAUAAUUAGAUUACAAUUAGAUUUCAUAAGGUUUAUUUUUUGCACCAGAGAUGGAUUGAGUUUAUUAGUUCUUUAUGUAUUUCAAGGUAAUGGUGAGGUGAAAAUAUGAAUUACCAAUAUGAUCCUGUAAUGUCACGUCCUCAUAACGUGACAGUUUGGUCGUCAGGACAUACUCAUCACGUUCCAGCGACGUUCCACUAUAACGUCGCCACGACGGAUAUGGGAAUCACAAAGUUACGUCACUGGAACGUUAUGUGGUACGUCGCUGAGACCAAUAUGGUAUUUUAUAGGAACGUCCUCAUAAC